rnacentral:piRNA from 1 species
UGCAGAUUGUGUUUUACACUCGCUGUAGC